rnacentral:rRNA from 1 species
GAUGAACGCUAGCGGCAGGCUUAAUACAUGCAAGUCGAACGGUAGAAGUCUCUUCGGAGGCUUUGAGAGUGGCGCACGGGUGCGUAACGCGUAUGCAACCUGCCUUCAGUUGGGGGAUAGCCCGGGGAAACCCGGAUUAAUACCGCAUAAUACAGGGGCCCCGCAUGGGGAUAUUUGUUAAAGAUUUAUCGACUGAAGAUGGGCAUGCGUCUGAUUAGCUAGUUGGUGAGGUAAUGGCUCACCAAGGCGACGAUCAGUAGGGGAUCUGAGAGGAUGGCCCCCCACACUGGUACUGAGAUACGGACCAGACUCCUACGGGAGGCAGCAGUAAGGAAUAUUGGACAAUGGGCGGAAGCCUGAUCCAGCCAUGCCGCGUGCAGGAAGACGGCCCUAUGGGUUGUAAACUGCUUUUGUAAGGGAAUAAUAAGGCGAACGAGUUUCGCUGAUGAAGGUACCUUACGAAUAAGCAUCGGCUAACUCCGUGCCAGCAGCCGCGGUAAUACGGAGGAUGCAAGCGUUAUCCGGAUUUAUUGGGUUUAAAGGGUGCGUAGGCGGCCUUUUAAGUCAGGGGUGAAAUGUUGCGGCUUAACCGCAGAAUUGCCUUUGAUACUGGGAGGCUUGAAUGAAGUUGAGGUAGGCGGAAUGUGGCAAGUAGCGGUGAAAUGCAUAGAGAUGCCACAGAACACCGAUUGCGAAAGGCAGCUUACUAAGCUUUGAUUGACGCUGAGGCACGAAAGCGUGGGGAUCAAACAGGAUUAGAUACCCUGGUAGUCCACGCAGUAAACGAUGAGAACUAGCUGUUGGCGAUAGAAUGUCAGCGGCACAGCGAAAGCGUUAAGUUCUCCACCUGGGGAGUACGACCGCAAGGUUGAAACUCAAAGGAAUUGACGGGGGCCCGCACAAGCGGAGGAGCAUGUGGUUUAAUUCGAUGAUACGCGAGGAACCUUACCUGGGCUUGAAAGUGAGUGACCGGCGCUGAAAGGCGCCUUCCCUUCGGGGCACAAAACUAGGUGCUGCAUGGCUGUCGUCAGCUCGUGCCGUGAGGUGUUGGGUUAAGUCCCGCAACGAGCGCAACCCCUAUCAUCAGUUGCCAUCAGGUAAAGCUGGGGACUCUGGUGAGACUGCCUGCGCAAGCAGUGAGGAAGGCGGGGACGACGUCAAGUCAUCAUGGCCCUUACGUCCAGGGCUACACACGUGCUACAAUGGCAGCUACAGAGGGCCGCGACCGUGCAAACGGGAGCUAAUCUCAAAAAGGUUGUCACAGUUCGGAUUGAGGUCUGCAACUCGACCUCAUGAAGUUGGAUUCGCUAGUAAUCGCGUAUCAGCAAUGACGCGGUGAAUACGUUCCCGGGCCUUGUACACACCGCC